CUCGACCGUCUUCAGAACGAAGCUGUCGCUCAUCGGUGUUCACG
rnacentral:misc_RNA from 1 species